rnacentral:rRNA from 1 species
UACGUAGGAUGCAAGCGUUGUCCGGAAUUAUUGGGCGUAAAGAGCGCGCAGGCGGUCUGACAAGUCUGAUGUGAAAUCUAUGGGCUCAACCCAUAGUCUGCAUCGGAAACUGUCGGGCUUGAGUAUGGGAGAGGUGAGUGGAAUUUCCGGUGUAGCGGUGAAAUGCGUAGAUAUCGGAAGGAACACCUGUGGCGAAAGCGGCUCACUGGACCAUUACUGACGCUGAGGCACGAAAGCUAGGGGAGCAAACAGG